AGUGAACGCUGGCGGUAGGCCUAACACAUGCAAGUCGAACGGCAGCACAGUAAGAGCUUGCUCUUACGGGUGGCGAGUGGCGGACGGGUGAGGAAUACAUCCGAAUCUACUUUUUCGUGGGGGAUAACGUAGGCGAACUUACGCUAAUCCCGCAUACGACCUACGGGUGAAAGCAGGAGAUCUUCGGCCCUUGGACGAUCGAAUGAGCCGAUGUCGGAUUAGCUAGUUGGCGGGGUAAAGGCCCACCAAGGCGACGAUCCGUAGCUGGUCUGAGAGGAUGAUCAGCCACACUGGAACUGAGACACGGUCCAGACUCCUACGGGAGGCAGCAGUGGGGAAUAUUGGACAAUGGGCGCAAGCCUGAUCCAGCUAUACCGCGUGGGUGAAGAAGGCCUUCGGGUUGUAAAGCCCUUUUGUUGGGAAAGAAAAGCAGCAGGUUAAUACCCCGCUGUUCUGACGGUACCCAAAGAAUAAGCACCGGCUAACUUCGUG
rnacentral:rRNA from 1 species